UUUUUUUUGAGAUGGAUUCUCGCCCUGUCGCCCAGGCUGGAGUGUAGUGGCAUGAUCUCAGCUCACUGCGACCUCUGCCUCCUGGGUUCAAGUGAUUCUCCUGCUCCAGCCUCCUGGGUAGCUGGGAUUACAGGCGCAUGUCACCACACCCAGCUAAUUAUUUUAUCUUUAGUAGAGAUGGGGUUUCACCAUGUUGGCCAGGCUGUUCUCGAACUCCCGACCUCGUGAUCCACUCGCCUCGGCCUCCCAAAGUGCUGGGAUUACAGGCGUGAGCCACCGUGCCCGGCCGCAGUUGCCCUAUGUUUUUAUGUAUUAUUUCAUUUCUUCUCUCACUCCUCCUCUACCCUAUUAUUUUAUACAGGGACUGAUGUUGUAAAUUAACAGACUUAGUAUUUAUGUUACACAGUAUUCUAACAGGACUGGCUGGCUUCCCAGAGCACACACUUUCACCCAGAAAGAGAUCGUAUUGAUCAGAGUGUGGUGGGGAAAGGAAGGUCACUUGUUUUUACGUGUGGUGGGGAAAGGAAGGUCACUUGUUUUUACAUGUGAUGGAAUAAAGGGUGGAAUAUAGACUCAGGAGGCGGCAUGGCUGGCGGAAGACCCGGCAUGGAAUACAGACUCAGGAGGCGGCAUGGCUGGCGGAAGACCCGGCAUGGAAUACAGACUCAGGAGGCGGCAUGGCUGGCGGAAGACCCGGCAGCAUGGAUGUUGGGGAAGCUGUCCCCACAGUGAGAAGACUUGAUGGUGGACAUGUCAGCUUAAAGCACCCAAGAAGAGGUCUCAAACGUUCUCCUGGCAGCUGUGUGUCUGCUUCUGGCUUCCGAAGUUCCUGUUUGAGAAGACAGCCGUCAUUCUGGGGGUUCCUGUUUGAGGAGACAGCCGUCGUCCUCGGGGUCCCUGUUUGAGGAGACAGCCGUCGUCCCCGGGGUUCCUGUUUGAGGAGACAGCCGUCGUCCCCGGGGCUCCUGUUAGAGAAGACAGCCGUCGUCCUCGGGGUUCCUGUUUGAGGAGACAGCCGUCGUCCUCGGGAUUCCUCUUUGAGGAGACAGCCGUCGUCCUCGUGGUCCCUGUUUGAGGAGACAGCCGUCGUCCUCGGGAUUCCUGUUUGAGGAGACAGCCGUCCUCCCCGGGGUCCCUGUUUGAGGAGACAGCCGUCGUCCUCGGGAUUCCUGUUUGAGGAGACAGCCGUCGUCCUCGUGGUCCCUGUUUGAGGAGACAGCCGUCGUCCUCGGGGUUCCUGUUUGAGGAGACAGCCGUCGUCCUCGGGGUUCCUGUUUGAGGAGACAGCCGUCGUCCUCGGGGUCCCUGUUUGAGGAGACAGCCGUCGUCCCCGGGGUCCCUGUUUGAGGAGACAGUCGUCGUCCUCGGGAUUCCUGUUUGAGGAGACAGCCGUCGUCCUCGGGGUUCCUGUUUGAGGAGACAGCCGUCGUCCCCGGGGUCCCUGUUUGAGGAGACAGCCGUCGUCCUCGGGAUUCCUGUUUGAGGAGACAGCCGUCGUCCUCGUGGUCCCUGUUUGAGGAGACAGCCGUCGUCCCCGGGGUCCCUGUUUGAGGAGACAGCCGUCAUCCCCGGGGUUCCUGUUUGAGGAGACAGCCGUCGUCCUCGGGGUUCCUGUUUGAGGAGACAGCCGUCGUCCCCGGGGUCCCUGUUUGAGGAGACAGCCGUCGUCCCCGGGGUCCCUGUUUGAGGAGACAGCCGUCGUCCUCGGGGUCCCUGUUUGAGGAGACAGCCGUCGUCCCCGGGGUUCCUGUUUGAGGAGACAGCCGUCGUCCUCGGGGUUCCUGUUUGAGGAGACAGCCGUCGUCCCCGGGGUUCCUGUUUGAGGAGACAGCCGUCGUCCUCGGGGUUCCUGUUUGAGGAGACAGCCGUCAUUCUUGGGGUCCCUGUUUGAGGAGACAGCUGUCGUCCUCGGGGUCCCUGUUCGAGGAGACAGCCGUCGUCCCCGGGGCUCCUGUUCGAGGAGACAGCCGUCAUCCUCGGGGUUCCUGUUUGAGGAGACAGCCGUCAUCCCCGGGGCUCCUGUUUGAGAAGACAGCCAUCAUCCUCGGGGUCCCUGUUUGAGGAGACAGCCGUCGUCCUCGGGGUUCCUGUUUGAGGAGACAGCCGUCGUCCCCGGGGCUCCUGUUUGAGGAGACAGCCGUCGUCCCCGGGGCUCCUGUUUGAGAAGACAGCCAUCGUCCUCGGGGUCCCUGUUUGAGGAGACAGCCGUCGUCCUCGGGGCUCCUGUUUGAGAAGACAGCCAUCAUCCUCAUGGUCCCUGUUUGAGGAGACAGCCGUCAUCCCCGGGGCUCCUGUUUGAGAAGACAGCCAUCAUCCUCGGGGUUCCUGUUCGAGGAGACAGCCGUUGUCCCCAGGGCUCCUGUUUGAGGAGACAGCCGUCGUCCUCGGGAUUCCUGUUUGAGGAGACAGCCAUCGUCCCCGGGGUCCCUGUUUGAGGAGACAGCCGUCGUCCCCGGGGUCCCUGUUUGAGGAGACAGCCGUCGUCCCCGGGGUCCCUGUUUGAGGAGACAGCCAUCGUCCCCGGGGUUCCUGUUUGAGGAGACAGCCAUCAUCCUCGUGGUCCCUGUUUGAGGAGACAGCCGUCGUCCCCGGGGUCCCUGUUUGAGGAGACAGCCGUCGUCCCCGGGGUCCCUGUUUGAGGAGACAGCCGUCGUCCCCGGGGUUCUCUAGUGCUAAGGUGUUUUUUUCUCCUGGCUGCAGCUAACAUUUUUCUCUUUUCCUUUAGUUUCAGCAGUUUGAUUAUGAUGUGACUAAAUAUGGUUUUCUCCAGUUUUAUACUUCAUGGAGUUUGAUAAGCCUAUUGAAUCUUGGGUUAAUGUCUCUUACCAAUUUUGGAAAAUUGGCUAUUAUCCAUCAAAAUAAUAUUGCUCCUAUCCCAUUCUCACCCUUCUCCUGGGAUUCCAAUACACAUGUUAGACAGUUGGAUCAGUACCAUAUGGCCCUCUUCUCUCUGUCUCUGUCUCUCUCUGUGCAUGUGUGUAUGUGGGUGUGUGUGUUUGUGUACUUUUAAUUCUAUCUUUUCUCUGUGCUUUAUUUUGGAUAAUUUCUAUGGACCUGUCUGAAACUUCAUCAAUCCUUUUUGCUACUAUAUGUUUAGUCUGCUCUUAAGCCCAUCCAAUGAGUUCUUAAUUUCAGGUAUUAUAUUAAUUGGUUAAUAUAAUAAACACUUAUUUUUAUUAUUUAUUUUAUUUUUAAUAACAAAUAAUGAGCACCUACUUUCAUAGCUUUCAUCUCUCUGUUGAAAUUCUCCAUCUUUUCAUCCAUUUUGUUCAUCCUUUCCUCCAUCUCAUUUCAUGUAUUUACAAGAAUAUUGUAAAGCAUUUGUCUGCUAAUUCUUUCAUCUGGGUUAUCUGUGCAUCUGCUUCUAUUGAAUAGCUUAUCUCUUGGUUGAAAAUCACACUCUCCUGUAAUUCUUAUAAUUUUUGGUAGUGUGCUAGAAAUUAUAUGCAAAAGAACCAAGAAACAUCAGUCUCUCCCCGCAGGUAGAGCUCUGCCGAUGACUAACCCGCCCUCAGCACCAUUCAGCUCCACUGCGAGAAAGGGGCCCCCCAAGACUGGCAGUUCCUUCAGAUUUGCACCCACCAUUUUCCAAUGCAUUUGAAAGAAAUGAUAAUUUUUGUACAUAAUUCCAUUUUUUCUCAUUGUUGAAAUAGAAAGGUUGGCUUCACACUCUUUCCUCAUGCUAACUGGACGUGAAAAUCUUGUCUUUUUGCAUUACAAAAUCUGGGAGUUAUUUGUCAUUAUGACUCAUUUUUUUCAUUUACAUUAUUCAUCUGUGGAUCUUUUUUCCUUAUUCAGUCUUGCCAGAUAUUUGUCUAAUUUUUGUUCCUUCAAACACACAGCCAUGGCUGUGCUGAUUUUUCUGUUUUGUUAAUAGGCAUUCUCAGUCCUGUCUCUUUUCUUCAGUUGAGUUUUGAAAUGUGGAGGUUGGACCCUGAGCUUGCUAACUUCAGGCUUCCCACCAGUUUCCCCCUAAUAACUCCAGCAUUGAUCACCUAAGAAAAAAGUCUCCCUCCUACUCACCAAAUAUCACUCUAAUGGCUGAGAACAUUAUUAAUUCAAAAAUAAGGCCAGGCACGGUGGCUCACGCCUGUAAUCCCAGCACCUUGGGAGGCCGAGGAGGGUGGAUCAUCUGAGGUCAGGGGUUCAAGACGAGCCUGGGCAACAUGAUGAAACCCCAUCUCUACUAAAAAUACAAAAAGUAGCCAGGCGUGGUGGUGCACAACUGUACUCCCAGCUACUUAGGAAGCUGAGACAGGAGAAUCACUUGAGCCCGGGAGACAGAAGUUGCAGUGAGCCAAGAUCACGUCACUGCACUCCAGCCUGGGCAACAGAACAAGACUCAAUCUCAGAGAAAAAAAGAAUUUAACCUUUCUUAUUUCCCAAUGCAAAUAUAUAGGGUUAGAUUUUUCUCAGGUACAGCUUUUACUGCAGCCCAAUAGUUUUGAUAGUAGUAUCUUAGUUUUAAUCAUUUCUAGGUAUUUUAAUUUCCAAUAUGACUUCUUCUUUAACUGUGGUUUAUUAGAAUAGUGGUUUUCAAUGUUUUAACAUGUGUAACUAUGUCACUGAUGCUUUUGUUAUGAACGUCUGUGCUGGGUCAGAGAAUAUUGUCAGUGUGGUAAAUGUGUCAGUUUGAAAAUGAUAACAAAAUCCUUGCUCACUGUUGCCUUGAAAAAAAAUGAAAAUGAUAACAAUCUGUACCUUUAGGACAAAAUGAAAGUACCGGACUCUCUGGUUCAAGAGCUCCCUGG
rnacentral:lncRNA from 1 species